rnacentral:rRNA from 1 species
CUACGGGAUGCAGCAAUGAGGAAUAUUGCACAAUGGGGGGAACCCUGAUGCAGCAACGCCGCGUGGAGGAUGACGCAUUUCGGUGUGUAAACUCCUUUUAUAUGUCAAGAAAAUGACGGUAGCAUAUGAAUAAGCACCGGCUAACUCCGUGCCAGCAGCCGCGGUAAUACGGGGGGUGCAAGCGUUACUCGGAAUCACUGGGCGUAAAGGACGCGUAGGCGGGUUGGAAAGUCAGGUGUGAAAUCCUACAGCUUAACUGUAGAACUGCACUUGAAACUUCUAAUCUAGAGUAUGGGAGGGGGAGAUGGAAUUAGUGGUGUAGGGGUAAAAUCCGUAGAUAUCACUAGGAAUACCUAAAGCGAAGGCGAUCUCCUGGAACAUUACUGACGCUAAGGCGUGAAAGCGUGGGGAGCAAACAGGAUUAGAUACCCCGGUAGUC